AACUUUGCACAGUGGCAGUAUUGUAGUCAAUGAAGUUUAUUCAAGGCAUGAUUAUUGCUAAUUGAAAACUUUCCCCAAUAUCCUGUGAUGAUGAUUUGCAAUAUAGUCAGAACUGGCAAUUUUUGACAGUCUCUAUGAAGA
rnacentral:snRNA from 1 species